CGAAGUGUGGAUGACAACCUUUCCCUCACACCGCCACUAGACUAUACAUGCCCACGUAGUAUAGCCGGUGCUCUAGAAUCUUGUUCCUCGACCUAUGACGACCCAACGGGGAAUAUGUGAGUGCGCAUGUGAUGUGACUGUGGCUGUGACAAUGGACUCUGGACUGAUGAGCAGCUUUCGCCGAAGGAACGCUCACCACUCAUAGGUGCCUUCGUAUAGAACUGCCCUAGAUAUCUGACUACGCACGCGAGCAAGUGCCUGCCUGCCUGUUUGCUGGCUUACGCGCUCUCUCGCUCAUACGCGGAGGCGCUGUUUUUUUUUUUUUCGGUGCCUCUGCGACGAAUGGAAACAAGGCACAUUAUGCAGAUAUGCGCUGCUUUCGGGUGCCGAACGGCGUCUGCUUGUCUGGCCUACAGUACUAUUAGCACGCAGAGGUGUGUAUGUGUGUGUGCGUGUUGUGCUCAGCAGUUGCUCUCAGGCUUCGUGUUUGGUUUGCGCGACGGAUUCCUCAACUGAAAGCGGCUUCCGACGUGGCCACUAUCAUUGGUUGUCCCCCGUCCUUCAUUGCUUUUAUCACGCCUUCCUCUCUCUGCCUCGGUGCCUGUCCUCGGUGCUAAUUGUCGCCUACUGCUUCUGUACAACCCCCCGUAAAAAAAAAG
rnacentral:misc_RNA from 1 species